rnacentral:misc_RNA from 1 species
GAUGAAGAACGUAGCGAAAUGCGAUAAGUAAUGCGAAUUGCAGAAUUCAGUGAGUCAUCGAAUCUUUGAACGCACAUUGCGCCCGUCAGUAUUCUGGCGGGCAUGCCUGUUCGAGCGUCAUUACGCCCCUCAAGUCCCCUGUGGACUUGGUGUUGGGGAUCGGCGAGGCUGGUUUUCCAGCACAGCCGUCCCUUAAAUUAAUUGGCGGUCUCGCCGUGGCCCUCCUCUGCGCAGUAGUAAAACACUCGCAACAGGAGCCCGGCGCGGUCCAGCCGUAAAACCCCCCAACUUUUUAUAGUUGACCUCGAAUCAGGUAGGACUACCCGCUGAACUUAAGCAUAUCAAUAAGCGGAGGA